rnacentral:rRNA from 1 species
UACGUAGGGUGCGAGCGUUGUCCGGAAUUAUUGGGCGUAAAGGGCUCGUAGGCGGUUUGUUGCGUCGGGAGUGAAAACCAGGUGCUUAACACCUGGCUUGCUUUCGAUACGGGCAGACUAGAGGUAUGCAGGGGAGAACAGAAUUCCUGGUGUAGCGGUGAAAUGCGCAGAUAUCAGGAGGAACACCGGUGGCGAAGGCGGUUCUCUGGGCAUUACCUGACGCUGAGGAGCGAAAGUGUGGGGAGCGAACAGG